rnacentral:rRNA from 1 species
UACGUAGGGUGCAAGCGUUGUCCGGAAUUAUUGGGCGUAAAGAGCUCGUAGGCGGUCUGUCGCGUCGGCUGUGAAAACCCGGAGCUCAACUCCGGGCCUGCAGUCGAUACGGGCAGACUGGAGUUCGGCAGGGGAGACUGGAAUUCCUGGUGUAGCGGUGAAAUGCGCAGAUAUCAGGAGGAACACCGGUGGCGAAGGCGGGUCUCUGGGCCGAUACUGACGCUGAGGCACGAAAGCUAGGGGAGCAAACAGG